CCUACGGGAGGCAGCAGUAGGGAAUCUUCCGCAAUGGACGAAAGUCUGACGGAGCAACGCCGCGUGAACGAUGAAGGCCUUCGGGUCGUAAAGUUCUGUUGUUAGGGAAGAGCAAGUGCUAGUUGAAUAAGCUGGCACCUUGACGGUACCUAACCAGAAAGCCACGGCUAACUACGUGCCAGCAGCCGCGGUAAUACGUAGGUGGCAAGCGUUGUCCGGAAUUAUUGGGCGUAAAGCGCGCGCAGGCGGUUUCUUAAGUCUGAUGUGAAAGCCCCCGGCUCAACCGGGGAGGGUCAUUGGAAACUGGGAAACUUGAGUGCAGAAGAGGAAAGUGGAAUUCCAAGUGUAGCGGUGAAAUGCGUAGAGAUUUGGAGGAACACCAGUGGCGAAGGCGACUUUCUGGUCUGUAACUGACGCUGAGGCGCGAAAGCGUGGGGAGCAAACAGGAUUAGAUACCCUGGUAGUCCACGCUGUAAACGAUGAGUGCUAAGUGUUAGAGGGUUUCCGCCUUUAGUGCUGAAGUUACGCAUUAAGCACNCGCGNGGAGUACGGUCGCGAGACGUAAGUAAACGUUAAAGUUAAAGUUAGUACGGUUCGUUGAGACGUUGCCGACGGACGACGACGAGGGAGGAGG
rnacentral:rRNA from 1 species